AUUGGAGGGGAAAUUACAGUGCAAGCAAUGCACUGUAUUAAUUUAAAACUUGUUAACAACAGCUAAAUUAAAACAAUUUAAAAGCAAUUAUAGAGACAGGCAAACAACAGCUACAGCAUUCAUAUAGAUACAAAAGCAUCUGCCUCAAUGCAGAGCUUACCUUUUUAAAACCAUGAAGAUCCAAGUUUAGAAAAAACAUGGAGGUUUUAGUGUUAUUUGCAAUGGUAUUGGCAGUGUUUCUCUUUUCUGCUCCUUAGAAAGAAAGACAAUGGAUGAGGAGGAAAAGUCAAGCCUAAGCAAUUUCAAAGCUAACAGAAAGGGCUCCUCAGGAGCCGCCUUGCAGGCUUUGGUGUCCCAGGGUUGGAAUUAAACCUUUAGAAGUUUACCCUAAACAAACUUACUGCAGGGCUUAUGCAUGCAAUUUGGUGCUUCUGAAUGAAGUUACACACUCAUAUUAAUGUUUGUGUUAAAAUACUGGAAAGUAUUUUCCUUUUCCUCAUAGGAAAUUUAUACCCAUGACCUGCAGUUUUUAACGCUUGGUACAUCAGAACAGUAGUUCUGCCAGCCUUCUGUCCAAGAGCAUACAAAGUACAUCUUUGCAGGCUUCUAUUUUUCUUGGCUUCAGCCCAUCUCAAAUUCUCUCCUCAGGAACUAAGUCUCCAUUAACUCUACCUUAGCCUUUGAUAACUGUGAAGCUGGUUUUAUUUUGCCUUAAAACAAAAUGAAGUUGGAUCAGAAAAGAGAAGCUAAGCUACAUUUCCAGGAAAAGACAAAGUCCUGGCUCUUCUCCAAGUUAUCCAUAGGCUGCUUCAGAGGAAGAUCAGAAAGCACUCCUUCUCCCACAGCUGGGACACUUUCUAAGAAGAGAAGGAAUUGAACGCAACACAUCGCAGAGCUGGUGUUAUCGCCCUGCAGACAAGCAAGGAGGCACAUGGCCUUGGAGAGGCAUGUACAGCCCUAAGUCAAGGUGCAGAUAACAGCAGAAUUUACAGGAUUUAAGAUUCUUGGUCUAGUGAAGCACAACUGAACAUUUGCAAGGAGCUACUCUCCAUUUCUGGGACUGAUGGUGACUGUGAAGCUGGAUGGUUGUGGAAAAUCCUGCAAUUUCAUUCCUAGCAUGUUAGGAGACUCCGCUUCAUGUUGCAGUUGGUGUAGUCAAGAAGAAAAAUUCCCUUGGAUUUGGGAAUUUUUCAAGAGUUGUUAUUCAGUUAGGAGCUGGUAACUAUGGUUUCAGACAUCUCCUCUCAGGGAUACUGCUCACGGAUGAAGGGAGGCCUGGUUUUGCAUUAUGAAGCAAGGGACUACAGGGUUGUGUGUUUAUGAAUGUAAAUUCUAAGCUUUCAGGGAGGGGCUUAAAUAAAAACAUGCACAAAUCUACCUGCAAGUAACCAUCACAGGAAAUGUAAAGACUUGUCUGAGAAGUGGAGCUUCUUUGAACACAAGCAGACAGCGGCUUACAUGUACAGGGUAAACAGGCCAAGUAAAGAGACAAUUAUCUUCCCCUGUAAGCCCACAAGCCAAAACACAGCUGGUAGCACUAACAUUAGUCCUGUCAAGCCUGGCAGUCUUCAGUUAUUAUGCACCCUUCAAAUAAUUAUACAUCUACUUAAGCUUACAGCCCAGAAGCUGCAGUCAGUAGCUGGCAGGGAUACAGUUCCUUGCUGGUAUAGCUCCUUUGACCUCCUUAGACGCACAUCAGGACUUAAUCUGGUCCUUUGUAUUUCAGAAUAAAUCAUGGGUCUUUUCCAUCUCUGCAUCUCAGACAUAAAGGUUGCUCCUCCUUCAGCUGUCAUCACAACCUGACUUCAGUUUUGUUUCAGGGUCCUGCCUGGCUUUCCUUACGGUCUGUGUGGAGUUCUCCUUACAAUUACAGCAGCUUCCCCAGAGGGCUUAAAUUGUGACUCGGUUCCCACAGUUUGAAAAGUUGCUUUCUGCGUUGUGAAAAUUCAAGCAAACACACUCUCUCCCCACCAUGCAUUAUUAGACGUUCAACAUGAGCCAUCCCAUGGUGGAGGAAUGAAGGCUGUAUGACGAACUUGCUCUCUUUAGGGAAUAGUGACACUAAGUACCAAAUUUAUAAACUCCUAUCUGCGCUAGCAUUAACACAUGUUGGCAUCCAUUCAGCAGUCAGUACCUUUGAGCUAUUACUUUGUAGGUUACAUGUAGGUCACAUUUUCUUUGAGAAUUACUUUUUAUCUUCAUAAAAUCAAGAUUCAGGUUGAAAUCAAAAGAAAGCAAACCUACAACGCCAGAACAAGCCAAAAGCUGCUCUGCUCCUCUCUGCUCCCUGGGAGAAAGAUGCAGGAUGCUUGUGAGGAACAGACGUAAGGACACUAAUGAUGUUACUCCGACCCUUGUGCUGAUCCUUCUUUCCCUUAAGUGACUGAAACCUGUUAGGUGUCACCUGCAACUGAAACAGGAAAAGAGAGAAAACUAAAAAAGCCCAGAAUGCCUUCAUUCGAGGCUCACACCUGCCUAAACUCCAGGACUUUGGUCUGUGCCCUCGUUGCCUGAGUUAUCCUAAUCAAAUGCAGCGCCAAGGCAGUGUUCAAAUAAAACUAAACACAGUCUCUAUCAGGCUAAUUGAGCAUGAAUGCUCAGCACUAAUCCAAACUACAAAUACUGCAUGCUUUUAAAGCUGAGCGAUAAACUGUGUUCUCAUCCCAUAAUAAAAAGCUUUCACCAUCUUAAGAAGUGUUUGCCCAGUGCAGAGGAUGACACGAGUUCUUUCUGAUUUGUUUGAAUUUUGUCUGCAAACAUGCAGGUUCAAGCCCCAUUCCAAAUAGGCCAUAGCUUGUGAUCAGGCCUCUUCCCAAGUGCCUGCCAUUGGCUCAAAGAGAACAAGCAAAUACACCCAUGAAACACACUUCCAUCAAUUGCAAGUCUCUUUUGUGGCAGUUUUCACCCAUUACAACUUGAAGCUGGAGUGUCCUUCCCAAGCAAGGUGCAGAAACAACAUGCGGUGCCAUGAGUGGGACUGUUGCUUCCCAGUGUAACCCUCUGCUCCUCCCUGGGAAUAGCACUAGUUCUCCCCUGUUACCUGGGACAAUCUUAUUGCUACUCUGCAACAGGAGUUAGUAAUCUUUAUGGGACAGCCCUGUAAUCAGGAGAGCUCAAUAAAACUGACCCACCUCCCUUGCA